CAGAUCCAAGCAGCUGGAGGAUCCGGAGAGAUAUCUGAAGCGAUACGAAUGCUCCUUACGUGGACUGGCUUCCUUUAUUUCUUCUUAAGAUUUCAAAGAAGAGGCUGUGCAGGACAGUAGAAGCUGUUGAAGUUUUGACUGUGGGUUCGCGCUCUCCCUAUCUGCAGGGGUUUCACUGAGUUGGCAAAAACGUGUCGCGACGCAGGAACAGAAAUAAACUGUCGGCCUUCAAGAACUCCAACACACGCACAUCUUGUCCUAAUUGGACCUCCAACAGACACUCGGCUCAGCAUGGUGAAGGUUCUUCUUGAAGGUUCUGAGGAUACAGAAGCCCAUGGUUUGAAUGAAAUAUUUUGGUCUUUCCCACCCUCUUGCUGGUCUUGUUGAACAUUCAACGCUGUCGGUGAGUUUUUGACAUAGAAAAACCAUCGACCGUUGAGUGGGCCCUGAGGCCACGCCCUCUUCCGCCCAGACACGCCCACCUCUAUAGAUGACUUAAUUUCUUCAAAGGUCAUAAUCAACAUUCAUUGCUGUCGGUGGGUUAAUUGUGUAACAGCUCUCUGAACAAUGAAUGUAACUAUGGCCCAGAUUCCAGCCUGUCAUGCCAGCAUACAUCACACUCUGCGCCAGUACAGCAGAGAUCAGCUUUUCUUUUCCUUUCUUCUCCUGCGCUCAUCCUCACGGAUCUGGAGUUCUUCAAGGAAGACACAAAUAGAAGCAGCCGCACUGACUGCUUCCUCCUGCAUCUAAUUGGUGGUUGUGUGUGUGUGUGCGUGUGUGUGCGUGUGGAGUGGACAGAAGGAAAUGGAGGAUGAAUGUAUAAUCAUUUAGAUGUUCUUCUCAUUUGGCUGUUUUGUCUCUCAAAUUACAUACUGUGUUCACUGCAGCCUGAAAUGAGCCUAAAAUGGCACUUGCUGCUGAAUACUGUCCUCUCUGUCAGCUGUGUGUCUGUUUGGUGUGCGCUUGCAAGUGUAUGUGGUGUGAGUUUGUGUUUGUGCAACUUUGUAGUUUAUGUACGUGAGACGUAGCAUAUAUAUGCGUCUCCAUCGAAGACAUCAAAGAAAGAAGCUUCGGUUUUAAAAUCUCCAGAUACCGAAACACAACGACACAGUCAUUGUCUAAUCCCGUCUGUCUUUCUGCCUCCUUCUGUCUCUUUCUUUGACUACCUUUCAUUCUUCCAUGUUCUCAGUGGAACAUGAGCUGAAUAAAAUGUCUGAAUAAUAAAAUCUCAG